UCACAGCCUCGUGAAUGAAGCGACUGUCUCCCGCAGACAUGAAACUACCUGCUCGUGUUUAGCUUGGUCCGACAUUUGCCUCUGUUUUCGGUGUAAAUAACUUGCUGAAUCAACACUGUUUCCCUGGAGGAGAGGAUGAGUGGGCUGGAAAGUUAAGCCGUGGGCCAAGUGUGGAUGAGUCGAGGCGGAGAAGACGGGCGCACAGUCCCAAAGCUACGGAAAAUCUCCAUCUCUUCACACCUCUGAUGCAAAUGGCCUGCUCACGAACAGGAGCCAGGCCUGAUUCCCGCACACAAGGAGGCAGUCACUGCACAUUAGGCCAAGACUCUAGCUACAAGUCCGGAUUUCCAGUGUGGAAAAUGACACCAUUUUAUCUGCCUGUACUUCGACGUACUAAGACAUACUAUGAGCCAGUAUGAAGGAGGUUCCCUUACAUCCAACCGGACCUUGCAGCUCUUGCAGCAGCAUUGAGAAGUUCAGGAGUCGACAGAGAAGAAAGAGGGUAAGGUUAGAACUGUGCUAAUUGUACUGAUUGUGUUUACAGCUCAUUGAAGCGGGAAAGAUGACAUGGAUCCAUCCUUCCACAGCCAGGAUCCCACCGACCUGUGUGCCACACUUCAAAUUAGACUAGAAGCUACACUGGAUCUCACAGCUACACACCACAGACGUCAACACACUGGGGCAGAUUCGGACACGAGUCCCACAAAGAUCGUAUGACCCAGAGGCUGCAAAGAGACCUUUCAAGCUUCACCUGAGUUUUUCACUGGCUAGGCUAGUUGUGUUUGUACAAUAUUUGUGCCGUAUGUAAAUAAAGCUUUGACUCAACAUA